GUGGCGAACGGGUGAGUACCACGUGAGCAACCUGCCCUGAAGACUGGGAUAACACCGGGAAACCGGUGCUAAUACCGGAUACCUUCACCGAACCGCAUGGUUUGGUGAAGAAAUGUUUUUUCGCUUCAGGAGGGGCUCGCGGCCUAUCAGCUUGUUGGCGGGGUAAUGGCCCACCAAGGCAACGACGGGUAGCUGGUCUGAGGGGACGAUCAGCCACACUGGGACGGAGACACGGCCCAGACUCCUACGGGAGGCAGCAGUGGGGAAUCUUGCGCAAUGGACGAAAGUCUGACGCAGCAACGCCGCGUGAGGGAUGAAGGUUUUCUGAAUUGUAAACCUCUUUCGACAGGAACGAUUGUGACGGUACCUGUAGAAGAAGCACCGGCCAACUAUGUGCCAGCAGCCGCGGUGAUACAUAGGGUGCAAGCGUUAUUCGGAUUUAUUGGGCGUAAAGAGCUCGUAGGCGGUUCGAUCAGUCGGGUGUGAAACCCCCAGGCUUAACCUGGGGCAGCCACUCGAAACUGUCGUGACUAGAGUUUGGUAGGGGAUCACGGAAUUCCUGGUGUAGCGGUGGAAUGCGCAGAUAUCAGAGGAACACCAGCAGCGAAGCGGUGAUCUGGGCCAAUACUGACGCUGAGGAGCGAAAGCGUGGGGAGCGAACAGGAUUAGAUACCCUGGUAGUCCACGCCGUAACGUGGGCACUAGUGUGGGGGACUUUUCAACGGUUUCGCGCCGCAGCUAACGCAUUAAGUGCCCCGCUGGGGAGUACGGUCGCAGACUAAACUCAAAGAAAUUGAC
rnacentral:rRNA from 1 species